rnacentral:lncRNA from 1 species
UUCUCGGGAAAAAUCUUACCUUGUUGUCAGUGUUACAAGCCCUUGCUUGUCAAAGGAUCAGCAGUAGGUAAGAAAACAACAUCUCGGGCUUUCUUGAACACUCUAAACAUGAAAAUGUCAUCCAAAACAGAGCAAAGGGAAGAACUGCAGAAGUACCAUACUCCAUGUAAGUAAGACAGCAGAUACUGUCUUAUUCAUGUACUUCUCUCUGAGCUUAUUUUCUUUUCUGAGGCUACUUAGUAAUUCCUUCAGCUUAAUGA